UCGUUUAGAUCGGUCAAAUAUCGGUGAUAUAUCGGUUAUGUCGGUCAAUAUCGCCGAUAAUAUCGGUACCGAUAUUCUGACCGAUAUUUUACACCGAUAUGACUAAUGUAUCACCGAGAUUAACUGCAUAGUAACUAAUCCACCCAAGAGUUGAGAAUCGAUAAUUUGGUUUGCUUCUGUAAUGUUUGAAUUAGUUUUGCUUUGCCUUGCCUUGCCUUGCCUUCAACAUUCACAUUGUGCCAACACCAUGUUGCACUAUGAGUACUUGACCAUCUGGUUUGAAUUGUAGUGUUUGUUAUGUAUUUGGCUGUUAUUGGUUGAGGCCAUUACUUCAUAAGAGGAACUUAACAAUAUUAAGUUUGUGGCUUUACCUAUACCAAGUUCAAUUAGCAAAUAGCAGUUGCUCACACGGGUUCAUGUCCUAAUGAAAGGAUUUCUGUCUUGACAAAUACGUUUGAGUAUACAAAGCUAAGUUUUAGAGAUCCUAAUUUAGCUUUUAACUGAUACAUUUGAGACAGAGCUAAGUUUUAGAGAUCCUAAUUUAGCUUCUUUAUUUAGGAACAAAUAUCUAUUUUUAAUCUGUAAUGAUAUCAAAUUUAUUUUACACUUUGUUUAUAUAAUUGAAAUACCAAGGUGCUCAUAUGAAGUGACAUUAUAACUUUUCGAAUCCUACAUGUUUUCCUUUUUUUCGUAAUCUUUCACAACUCUCAACACGAUUGUGAGCCUAAUGAAACUGAUCUGGACAUGUGAACUUACAGAGAAUGUUACCCAACUAUUCAUCAAAUAACCCAGUCGGGAUAUGGAACUUUUCUUCUGUGUACGAUCUUGAUAUGUUCGAGGCAAAAGUUCGUGGUGAAUUCGGCAUCGGAUUGAAUAUUCAGAUUUUGGAUGAUGUUAAGUUGGAUGUCUUUAUCUUACAUGAAUUUGGACAAGAUAGAGAUAGUUAACGUUCCACCACAUUUGGUGUAUGCAUGUUCGAAAGCGAGUCGGAUCGACAAAUAUAAUACAUUUUCAUUUGAUGGCGAC